AUUGAACGCUGGCGGCAUGCUUUACACAUGCAAGUCGAACGGUAACAGGCCGCAAGGUGCUGACGAGUGGCGAACGGGUGAGUAAUGCAUCGGAACGUGCCCAGUCGCGGGGGAUAACGCAGCGAAAGCUGCGCUAAUACCGAAUACGAGCUGUGGAUGAAAGCGGGGGCCCGAAGCGACUCGAGCGCUGCGCGCGGCGGGUGUCAGAUGAGGUAGUGGGUGGGGUAAAGGUCCACCAAGCCAACGAUCUGUGGCUGGUCUGAUCGGACGGCCAGCCACACUGGGACUGAGACACGGCCCAGACUCCUACGGGAGGCAGCAGUGGGGAAUUUUGGACAAUGGGCGCAAGCCUGAUCCAGCAAUGCCGCGUGCAGGAAGAAGGCCUUCGGGUUGUAAACUGCUUUUGUACGGAACGAAACGGCUCUGGUUAAUACCUGGGGCUAAUGACGGUACCGUAAGAAUAAGCACCGGCUAACUACGUGCCAGCAGCCGCGGUAAGAC
rnacentral:rRNA from 1 species